rnacentral:rRNA from 1 species
AUUGAACGCUGGCGGCAUGCCUUACACAUGCAAGUCGAACGGUAACAGGUUAAGCUGACGAGUGGCGAACGGGUGAGUAAUGUAUCGGAACGUGCCCAGUCGUGGGGGAUAACUGCUCGAAAGAGCAGCUAAUACCGCAUACGACCUGAGGGUGAAAGCGGGGGAUCGCAAGACCUCGCGCGAUUGGAGCGGCCGAUAUCAGAUUAGGUAGUUGGUGAGGUAAAGGCUCACCAAGCCGACGAUCUGUAGCUGGUCUGAGAGGACGACCAGCCACACUGGGACUGAGACACGGCCCAGACUCCUACGGGAGGCAGCAGUGGGGAAUUUUGGACAAUGGGCGCAAGCCUGAUCCAGCCAUGCCGCGUGCGGGAAGAAGGCCUUCGGGUUGUAAACUGCUUUUGUCAGGGGAGAAAAGGUUCUGGCUAAUACCUGGGACUCAUGACGGUACCUGAAGAAUAAGCACCGGCUAACUACGUGCCAGCCGCCGCCGUAAUAC